AUGGCCUGAAUUCCUCAUUUCUGCCUUCAAGUUACACAGGGACUCCUCACACCCAGCGGUGGAGAAACUUGUCCAGCAGUGAAUUUAGUGCAAAGCAGUGGGCAGCACAUUUCCACGGGAACUUUGCUGCACUUGUAUUUUGAGUCUAGUUCCCAAAGCCACCAUCGUGUGGAAUGAGCGCACUGUGGUAGCUUAUAUGCUAGCUUCCAGGUACUUGAGGCUUGCGGGCAAGUGCAUCCAAGAAACAUUCAGGGAACC
rnacentral:lncRNA from 1 species